GACGUAGGGGGCGAACGUUGGUUCGGAAUUACUGGGCGUAAAGCGCAUGUAGGCGGCAGCGCAAGUCGGGCGUGAAAUCCCACGGCUCAACCGUGGAAGUGCACUCGAAACUGCGCAGCUAGAGUCCUGGAGAGGAAGGUGGAAUGCUUGGUGUAGAGGUGAAAUUCGUAGAUAUCAAGCGGAACACCGGUGGCGAAGGCGGCCUUCUGGACAGUGACUGACGCUGAGAGUG
rnacentral:rRNA from 1 species